GGGGAUAUAGUUCACUUCAUAGAGUGUUUGCCUCGUAUGCACAAGGGCCUGGGUUCAAUUCCCAGCAACCCCC
rnacentral:tRNA from 1 species